GGAAGGAUGGUCCAAUUAACUGCCAAGCAGUCAGACAUAAUUCACUCUGACCAGGCCAAUGAGAGACAAGUCCCAGAAAUGCAUGUCCUGUCCAUUUAUGUAACACCCAAACGUUCCCCCCUGGCAAAGUCUCCCCCUCUGGAAGUGUUACCUAACUAAGGAGCAAGCCAGCAUAGGAAAAUCUACCUGUAUCAGGCUGCAUCCAAACCAACACCCUCUCUGAUUAAGCAACCACCUGUGGUACAGGAGACAUUGCCAGUCACUAAACUGCUGAACUCAGGCACUAACAGCCAUCAUCAAGCAGACAGCCAGAAAGCUCAGUGCAAGGUUAUCCAGGGUACACACCACUGUGCUGUCUUCUCACGUAUCAAUGAACGGGGCAAGAUGUAGAAAGCACAAAAAGGAAAAAAAACCCUGCCUUGUAGGGUGUAGGUAGGCAGGCUUCAUCUCCUUCUUCUGAGUCUCUUCUGCUAGCACAGAAAUAGGCAGAAUGUUACUGAAGUGAUAUGACAAUGUUAAAAACAAACAAACAAAUAAAAAACCUGAAGGCAAACCAUAUGUAACAGCUGAUUAGGAAAGCUGUGAAUCCAGCCACACAGCUGCUCUUCAUGUCCUCUGCCACGCUUAGUACCCCACUAGUCCAGGGGAAACAGGAGGGCACAGAGAAAGAGGAAGAGGAGAAAUUUCACAAAAAAUGCUGGAAUGAAAAGAGAAAGUUCUCAGUGAACCACAGUUCUAGCUUGGGAUCCAUCACCUAGGAGGCAGCAGGCAUUUAAAGUGGAGACAGAAGAAAAAAAGAAAGAAAAAAAAAAGCCCACCAAACAUUGAUUCAUAAAUACAAAAUUCAUAUGAUGUUUAUCAAAAGAGUGGAAUCUUUAUUCUGCAACAAAUAUGUGCAGGUGGCACCUGAUCCAUCCUUAGAUAAGGCACCUUUUUUUGUAUAAUCCUCUUCAUUUUUAAGUGCUAGACUUAAGACUGUCAUGUUUAGAAAUAUAUGCUUUAUGCACUAUGAGCAGGAGUGUAAAAAACCCCAGUUGUGUGAAAUAUUCACGUUACGUAUGGCAACAUCCUAUUUGUCAGCCAGUUACCAGGAGCUAAGGAAUCUGUGUGGUACUAGCAAAGUUGCCUUGCAGCAGGGUGUUAGAGCAAGCACGAAUCGGACUAUAUAUGGUAUGUUUACUGAACGAUUAGGCAUAAAGAUGUUACAGAAGAAACGAUGUCUCUUGUAUUAGAUGCUGGGCUUCCUGCUGCAAGGCAAACCAUCUUGCUCGGAAAGCAGUCUGUCACAUAUUCCUCAUACGCUUCUGGCUGCGGGUGCCAGUGAAACCUCUAGAAAACAGGAACAGGUUAUGCUGCAUGUAAUGAUUAACUACAUGGAGGAUCAGCACUCCAAGCUCCGCCCGCCAGCAUUCCCUGUCUCCUUGCUGCUCUUCCUCCCCCGCUACUUUUCGCUGGGACUGUUCGGCAGGCAACCCUGCGGAGGGCAGGAAGGCACACACACAGGCACAUGCUGCGCUGCCUCUGCGACGAGAUGACGGCCAAAGCCAAGUUGCAGCCCCUUCUCUCCUCUGACUCCUUUCAUGCUCCAUCACACUCCAGCACAAACAUAGGCACACGGGAAGGAGACGCCAGAAAACAAAACACUGUGUUCAUCACAGACUGAAACUGGAUGCAUAGUUUCUUUACUGGAAGGAACUGGAUCAACUCACCAGGACCAUCAGCCCUCAAGUGCCAGACUUCUCACCUUCAUUGCUGCUUUUUGACAUUUAGCAACUCCUCAAGAAACCGUCAAAACUAUACAAAGUGGUAAGGGGGUGGGAAAACAAAGCAAAAAAAAAAA